GUACUCCAUGAUCCCCUUCACGUGGAGAUUCUGAAAGUGGGUGGCCUCCGAGGUGGCUUCAGAGUAACCCUCCCUCAACCUGCGAAGCUCGCCUUCCAUCUUCUUCGACCUUUUUGUCAAAUGAAGAACUUCCUUCUUCAGCUGCUGGAUCGUCGACUUCAGCGGAAUCUCCAGGGGCAGGGGAAGUGCUUCGGCAGGACACUGCCAUCGGCAGACAAAAGCGUCAAGGCGCGUCUCAUCACAGAAAGAAAAACAGAAGGGGGGAA
rnacentral:lncRNA from 1 species